AACGAAUGCUGGCGGCAGGCUUAACACAUGCAAGUCGAACGCCCCGCAAGGGGAGUGGCAGACGGGUGAGUAACGCGUGGGAAUCUACUUAGUUCUACGGAGCAACAGUUGGAAACGACUGCUAAUACCGUAUACGCCCUAUGGGGGAAAGCUUUAUCGGAAUUAGAUGAGCCCGCGUAAGAUUAGCUAGUUGGUGAGGUAAUGGCUCACCAAGGCGACGAUCUUUAGCUGGUCUGAGAGGAUGAUCAGCCACACUGGGACUGAGACACGGCCCAGACUCCUGCGGGAGGCAGCAGUGGGGAAUAUUGGACAAUGGGCGCAAGCCUGAUCCAGCCAUGCCGCGUGAGUGAUGAAGGCCUUAGGGUUGUAAGGCUCUUUCAGUAGGGAGGGUAAUGACGGUACCUACAGAAGAAGCCCCGGCUAACUUCGUGCCAGCCGCCGCCGUAACAC
rnacentral:rRNA from 1 species